rnacentral:sRNA from 1 species
CUCCCUAUGAGGAAGUCAUCCCAAAAGAUAGGAAGUGCCGUAUGACACUUUAAGCAGCAGCGGUCACACUGCGUACCCCACGUUUCCCAUCCACCAGUCGCUACCUACCUGAGGCGUUUCCUCUCCGGGAUUCGUCUUCUUUGGGUCGCUGAUUGGUCGGGAUUACAUGGGCUACUGUGUGCCGCUGUGUGUGUGAUUUGGAACGGGUCUCUGAGGGUU